rnacentral:rRNA from 1 species
UACGGGGGGGCAAGCGUUGUUCGGAAUUACUGGGCGUAAAGGGCUCGUAGGCGGCCAACUAAGUCAGACGUGAAAUCCCUCGGCUUAACCGGGGAACUGCGUCUGAUACUGGAUGGCUUGAGUUUGGGAGAGGGAUGCGGAAUUCCAGGUGUAGCGGUGAAAUGCGUAGAUAUCUGGAGGAACACCGGUGGCGAAGGCGGCGAUCCUGGACCAACACUGACGCUGAGGAGCGAAAGCCAGGGGAGCAAACGGG